rnacentral:rRNA from 2 species
UGGGGAAUAUUGCACAAUGGAGGGAACUCUGAUGCAGCGACGCCGCGUGAACGAAGAAGGCUUUCGAGUCGUAAAGUUCUUUUAUAUGGGAAGAUAAUGACGGUACCAUAAGAAAAAGCCCCGGCUAACUACGUGCCAGCAGCCGCGGUAAUACGUAGGGGGCUAGCGUUGUCCGGAAUCACUGGGCGUAAAGGGUUCGCAGGCGGAAAUGCAAGUCAGGUGUAAAAGGCAGUAGCUUAACUACUGUAAGCAUUUGAAACUGCAUAUCUUGAGAAGAGUAGAGGUAAGUGGAAUUUUUAGUGUAGCGGUGAAAUGCGUAGAGAUUAAAAAGAAUACCGGUGGCGAAGGCGACUUACUGGGCUCAUUCUGACGCUGAGGAACGAAAGCGUGGGUAGCAAACAGG